AUUCAUGUGUUUUCCAGCUACUUAUUUGAGUUGUUACAUGUAGAUCCCUACAACACCAAUUAUAGUUGGGGAAGGUGAACCUCCUCCCUCUUGGGAUCCGGUACCAACUCCAAAAGAGAGACUUUCAUAUGUGCAUGUGAAGCGGAUCAAGAAUCAGCUUUGAUUUGGCUAAGAAAUGAGAUGGCUUAGUAGGUUUGGGUGAUCAAUCGAUGAUGCUUAGCACAUCUGGAGGUUUCUUAUUUUGAACUGACAUGCUUAGUUCUAAAGUGAUGUUUCUUCUUAGCACAUAUGUUCUAUCUCUUAGCUGUUG